UUUUUUUCAUUUAGCUCUGACGAGCACACCGGCUUAAUUACGUGAUAGUAUCAAGCAAUAAAAAAUUCAAUGUAUACUUGUAUAGUCGCCAUCAGAUAUAUCGGAGCGGCCAAGGUCCUCACAAAUAUCUGAACACGCCUCUAUCGUCGAGGCGGUAGAGUGCGUGUUCAGAUAUUUUUGAGCACCCCGGCCGUCCCGAUAUAUCUGAUGGCGACUGUACUUAGGUGUUAUUUGAUAGUGGAAAUCUGUGUCGUCCUGUUACAGAUAGGUUACCUAAGGCCAGUUAGCGUUUUUUCCUAUUAUUAUUAAAGGUCUGUGCACACCGGCUUGCGUGUCCGUGACGUGCACGUGCGCUAAAAUGUUGGAGCCGCACACGCACACGUCACGCAAGCGGUGUGCCGUCUCUCAUAAGGAUCUGUAUACUACAACGCCACACGCGCACGUGCUCGUCGCGCACACGCAGCCGGUGUGAACAGGCCUUAGAGAUGCUGUAAUAAAAUGCGACACUUUACGACAUAAGCGCUAAUAGCCUCAAGGCCCCUUUUUAUACCGAAGCUCAAAGUACUCGUAUCAAAAGAGUCAGGAUUCCUAGCUGAUUUAAAAGAGGUUCUUCCUAAUUAUGUGUGUGUUAAUACGGACCGGCCAAAAUACCUAAAUGUAAUAAAACUAAAUAAGCCACUGUUGACUUUGUAAAGGUUAGUAGAGUCGUUUCUACUGUUUGAUACGCUAGAUAGGAGGGGGUAAACAAAUUGAGAUUUUAGCUAAAUACUAAAAUGUGGAACGAAUUUUAGUUGAUACUAAAAAUGGUGGAAUGUGUUGUAGGCUGGACGUACUUCAUUUUUCUCACAUGUCAAAUCUUAUAGAAUCAGUAUCGAGAAUAAACAUCAAAUUUAGGUAUUUCAGUAUAUCUUAAACUCGUUAGACACAUGUUCAUUCAGAUAUUUUGUUGAUUGAUGAUUUCCAAUUCGAAUUAAAUUGAUGAACUACAAAUUCCACUUAAUAUAUCAUAUGUAAUAUCAUAUGCAUUUCGAUUAUCAUUGACGUUUUGUUGGAAAAGAGUUCUUGACACGCAAUUGUGUAAAAUUAAUUUUGCAAUAUCCCCCUAAGGCCCAAGGUCCUACCUAUAGCACUUAUUCAGUUCGAUGAAAUUUAAACCAUAUUCAAUUGGAACAGAGUUGCAUUUCUUUUGUUUCGUAAAAUUUUCAAACAAAUAGAAAUCAACUCUAUUCUCUGCGCUAUAGGUUCAAAUUUCAUUGGCAAAUUUUGGGUUUUUCAUUUGUACGGCUCGGCCUUAGGAGGAUAUUAUGGAAAAAGAAAAGUGGACCGACGACCCGGUCAAGAUUGCAGGAAACCAAGUAUAGUGCACGACUAGUCGUCGUGGAGAUCCCUGGGGGAAACCUUAGUCAUCCUUCUCAUGAUGUGACUAAAAUACAAACAUAAACACCACGUGUUAAGAACUCUUUUUAUAUUGUGUCUCAUUUAAUUUUACCCAUUGGUAUGAAGUUUUGUAUAAAAUCUCACGAACGAAUGUAUGUAAUUAGAUAUAAAAAAACAAAUGUAAUGCAUGACAACUGAAAGGAAUUGAUGAAGAGUUUCUUCAUUCGUGUAAUUUUUCCUUUUGCUAAUACGUUUACACAUUUUUGACUUAUCUUUGUGAUUAGACUAGGAGGUUUUAAUUGUUUUUGUUAUAUUUUCUUUUGUUUAGGAAGUGUUGUUUUUAUUUUCUUAAUCUUAUAUUGAUUAUUUGAGAUGUUUUUAUAUGGAUGUGGUCGCUAUACGAUCAGGACCCUUAGUGUAAGGCCUGAGUGGACGCUCGAGUUGAGCGUGCAGCGGGGCGGGGCGUGCGGCGUGCAUGUUAAACAAAUGCAAACGUAUAGGAGCGGCCUUAGUGCGCGCUGCUCAAGUCACUUGUGAGCCCGACGCCACGCUGCACGCCCCGCCGAACGCUCCGCUUCGAGCGUCCACUCAGGCCUUACACUUACGAGUAAAUGUAUUAGUAAAAGGAGCAUGUUAUGCUUAAACUUAACAAUUUAAUAUUAAAAUUGACAUUUAUUAAAUCGUAAUUGUAAAGUUUCUCAGUGAAACAAGAAUUUUGAGCGUUCGUGGACGUAUUUCAAGCGAAAUGCGUUUUUCCAUAGGUUUGUAGUCGAUUUUGAUUUAAUUGAUAUGUAUUCUAAGUGCCGACACAAACUAUCAUUACAAAUACUUAACCUUUUCGACGCCGUGUCAAACACAAAAGCUGUCACUCGGACGCACGUCACCGAAGUGUCAAAACUGAAAUUGAACUUUAUGCAUAUGCACCUAGGUCUGUGUUGCUCUGUGGUCUGUUAUGAUUACUCGGUCUGUGGCUUUGGACCUACGGUGCGGAUAUAUCGGUCAUUGGCGUCCAAAAGGUUAACUCGUCUAACAAAAUUACUUUACUUAUUAUUAUUUCAAAGGUACGUUAUUUGCUUGAUUUUGAUUAAAUCUACUGGCAUAUCUUUUGUUUAUAUAGCGGACAAUACAGUUAUCUCAGCGCUAAAUCACCUAAAAGCAGUUAAAAUGGGUCACGGUUCGUAUUUUCUUAUUGUUUGCACUUAGAAUACAUCGUCAAUAAUUAGUAGAAGAGUUGGAUGACUCCUGUAAAUUUCGCUUGACGCCAAAGAUGUAAUAUUCUUGUGUUCACCCUGUACUUGAAAAAUAAUUUAGAUUUACUUCCCAGUCUGUGGUUUACCAUUAUUUUUUACACAGAUAGUCUCAUAAUAUAAUUUUAGUUUAUUAGCUUUAGUUUUUUUCUGUAAAAUAGAACUCACUAACUUAUUACUUAAUCUGUAUGUAUAUUGAAGAGUACACCUAAUAUAUAUCCUUUAGUUAUAAUGUGUUAUAUAUAGCUAGUAUUAGGGCGUACUGCGCCAUUUAUUAUGUUGUAUGAUAUGUUGUUGAGAGUUGAUUACAACUAAGUCACUUACAAUAGUUUUAUUUAAAGAAUGAAAAUGUAUUUAUUUAUUAAAUAUGAAUUAACAUUCAUGAGAA